GUGAGGAAUAUUGGGCAAUGGGCGAAAGCCUGACCCAGCCACGCCGCGUGAGUGAUGAAGGCCUUCGGGUUGUAAAGCUCUGUGGGGAGGGAAGAAAAAGCGGGAGAGUAACUGCUCUCGUGUUGACGGUACCUCCUUAGCAAGCACCGGCUAACUCUGUGCCAGCAGCCGCGGUAAUACAGAGGGUGCAAACGUUGCUCGGAAUUACUGGGCGUAAAGCGCGUGUAGGCUGACAUGCAAGUCGGGUGUGAAAUCCAAGGGCUCAACCUUGGAACUGCACUCGAAACUGCACGUCUUGAGUACUGGAGAGGGAAGCGGAAUUCCGGGUGUAGAGGUGAAAUUCGUAGAUAUCCGGAGGAACACCAGUGGCGAAGGCGGCUUCCUGGACAGUAACUGACGCUGAGACGCGAAAGCGUGGGGAGCAAACAGGAUUAGAAACCCGUGUAGUCC
rnacentral:rRNA from 1 species